rnacentral:piRNA from 1 species
UAUAAAUGUUUUUUUGAUAAUGUGUAAAAGA